rnacentral:rRNA from 1 species
CCUACGGGUGGCACCAGUGGGGAAUAUUGCACAAUGGGCGCAAGCCUGAUGCAGCCAUGCCGCGUGUGUGAAGAAGGCCUUCGGGUUGUAAAGCACUUUCAGCGGGGAGGAAGGCGCCAAGGUUAAUAACCUUGGCGAUUGACGUCACCCGCAGAAGAAGCACCGGCUAACUCCGUGCCAGCAGCCGCGGUAAUACGGAGGGUGCAAGCGUUAAUCGGAAUUACUGGGCGUAAAGCGCACGCAGGCGGUUGAUUGAGUCAGAUGUGAAAUCCCCGGGCUUAACCCGGGAAUUGCAUCUGAUACUGGUCAGCUAGAGUCUUGUAGAGGGGGGUAGAAUUCCAUGUGUAGCGGUGAAAUGCGUAGAGAUGUGGAGGAAUACCGGUGGCGAAGGCGGCCCCCUGGACAAAGACUGACGCUCAGGUGCGAAAGCGUGGGGAGCAAACAGGAUUAGAUACCCGUGUAGUC